UGGGGAAUAUUGGACAAUGGGCGAAAGCCUGAUCCAGCCAUGCCGCGUGUGUGAAGAAGGUCUUCGGAUUGUAAAGCACUUUAAGUUGGGAGGAAGGGCAUUAACCUAAUACGUUAGUGUUUUGACGUUACCGACAGAAUAAGCACCGGCUAACUCUGUGCCAGCAGCCGCGGUAAUACAGAGGGUGCAAGCGUUAAUCGGAAUUACUGGGCGUAAAGCGCGCGUAGGUGGUUUGUUAAGUUGGAUGUGAAAUCCCCGGGGUCAACCUGGGAACUGCAUUCAAAACUGACUGACUAGAGUAUGGUAGAGGGUGGUGGAAUUUCCUGUGUAGCGGUGAAAUGCGUAGAUAUAGGAAGGAACACCAGUGGCGAAGGCGACCACCUAGACUAAUACUGACACUGAGGUGCGAAAGCGUGGUGAGCAAACA
rnacentral:rRNA from 1 species